AUCGCUUCUCGGCCUUUUGGCUAAGAUCAAGUGUAGUAUCUGUUCUGUCCUAUAAAAAGAGACAAAGGGGCCUACCACUUCAAUGAAGUUUCCAGGAGUCUUA
rnacentral:snRNA from 1 species